GACGAACGCUGGCGGCGUGCCUAAUACAUGCAAGUAGAACGCUGAAGGAGGAGCUUGCUUCUCUGGAUGAGUUGCGAACGGGUGAGUAACGCGUAGGUAACCUGCCUGGUAGCGGGGGAUAACUAUUGGAAACGAUAGCUAAUACCGCAUAAUAGCAUUUGUUGCAUGACAACUGUUUGAAAGGUGCAAUUGCACCACUACCAGAUGGACCUGCGUUGUAUUAGCUAGUUGGUGGGGUAACGGCUCACCAAGGCGACGAUACAUAGCCGACCUGAGAGGGGGAUCGGCCACACUGGGACUGAGACACGGCCCAGACUCCUACGGGAGGCAGCAGUAGGGAAUCUUCGGCAAUGGACGGAAGUCUGACCGAGCAACGCCGCGUGAGUGAAGAAGGUUUUCGGAUCGUAAAGCUCUGUUGUAAGAGAAGAACGAGUGUGAGAGUGGAAAGUUCACACUGUGACGGUAUCUUACCAGAAAGGGACGGCUAACUACGUG
rnacentral:rRNA from 1 species